rnacentral:tRNA from 2 species
GGGUGUUUGGUCUUAGUGGCAUGAUUCUCGCUUCGGGUGCGAGAGGUCAUGAGUUCGAUUCUCGCAAAACACCCC